UCAGGGGUGAAAUCCCGGGGCUCAACCUCGGAAUUGCCUUUGAUACUGGGUGUCUUGAGUAUGAGAGAGGUGUGUGGAACUCCGAGUGUAGAGGUGAAAUUCGUAGAUAUUCGGAAGAACACCAGUGGCGAAGGCGACACACUGGCUCAUUACUGACGCUGAGGCUCGAAAGCGUGGGGAGCAAACAGGAUUAGAUACCCUGGUAGUCCACGCCG
rnacentral:rRNA from 1 species